GUGUGCGUGUGUGCAUAGUGUUUCCAAAACUUACUUAAAUUAUUCAAGUAAAGUGCUACCCCAAUUAAAUGCACAAGUUAGGCGGUUUUCAAAGGAUUUCAACAAGCAGAAUUAAUGCGGAAUUGUUGUUGUUUACAGGA
rnacentral:snoRNA from 1 species